UACAGAGGGUGCGAGCGUUAAUCGGAAUUACUGGGCGUAAAGCGUGCGUAGACGGUUAUUUAAGUCGGGUGUGAAAGCCCCGGGCUCAACCUGGGAAUUGCAUUCGAGACUGAAUAGCUAGGGUACGGUAGAGGGAAGUGGAAUUUCCGGUGUAGCGGUGAAAUGCGUAGAUAUCAUCAGGAACACCGGUGGCGAAAGCGGCUUACUGGGUCUCUUCUGACGCUGAGGAACGAAAGCUAGGGUAGCGAACGGG
rnacentral:rRNA from 1 species